AUCUGAACCUUCGGGGAACGAUAACGGCGUCGAGCGGCGGACGGGUGAGUAAUGCCUAGGAAAUUGCCCUGAUGUGGGGGAUAACCAUUGGAAACGAUGGCUAAUACCGCAUAAUGCCUACGGGCCAAAGAGGGGGACCUUCGGGCCUCUCGCGUCAGGAUAUGCCUAGGUGGGAUUAGCUAGUUGGUGAGGUAAUGGCUCACCAAGGCGACGAUCCCUAGCUGGUCUGAGAGGAUGAUCAGCCACACUGGAACUGAGACACGGUCCAGACUCCUACGGGAGGCAGCAGUGGGGAAUAUUGCACAAUGGGCGCAAGCCUGAUGCAGCCAUGCCGCGUGUGUGAAGAAGGCCUUCGGGUUGUAAAGCACUUUCAGUCGUGAGGAAGGUAGUGUAGUUAAUAGCUGCAUUAUUUGACGUUAGCGACAGAAGAAGCACCGGCUAACUCCGUGCCAGCAGCCGCGGUAAUACGGAGGGUGCGAGCGUUAAUCGGAAUUACUGGGCGUAAAGCGCAUGCAGGUGGUUUGUUAAGUCAGAUGUGAAAGCCCGGGGCUCAACCUCGGAAUAGCAUUUGAAACUGGCAGACUAGAGUACUGUAGAGGGGGGUAGAAUUUCAGGUGUAGCGGUGAAAUGCGUAGAGAUCUGAAGGAAUACCGGUGGCGAAGGCGGCCCCCUGGACAGAUACUGACACUCAGAUGCGAAAGCGUGGGGAGCAAACAGGAUUAGAUACCCUGGUAGUCCACGCCGUAAACGAUGUCUACUUGGAGGUUGUGGCCUUGAGCCGUGGCUUUCGGAGCUAACGCGUUAAGUAGACCGCCUGGGGAGUACGGUCGCAAGAUUAAAACUCAAAUGAAUUGACGGGGGCCCGCACAAGCGGUGGAGCAUGUGGUUUAAUUCGAUGCAACGCGAAGAACCUUACCUACUCUUGACAUCCAGAGAACUUUCCAGAGAUGGAUUGGUGCCUUCGGGAACUCUGAGACAGGUGCUGCAUGGCUGUCGUCAGCUCGUGUUGUGAAAUGUUGGGUUAAGUCCCGCAACGAGCGCAACCCUUAUCCUUGUUUGCCAGCGAGUAAUGUCGGGAACUCCAGGGAGACUGCCGGUGAUAAACCGGAGGAAGGUGGGGACGACGUCAAGUCAUCAUGGCCCUUACGAGUAGGGCUACACACGUGCUACAAUGGCGCAUACAGAGGGCAGCAAGCUAGCGAUAGUGAGCGAAUCCCAAAAAGUGCGUCGUAGUCCGGAUUGGAGUCUGCAACUCGACUCCAUGAAGUCGGAAUCGCUAGUAAUCGUGGAUCAGAAUGCCACGGUGAAUACGUUCCCGGGCCUUGUACACACCGCCCGUCACACCAUGGGAGUGGGCUGCAAAAGAAGUAGGUAGUUUAAC
rnacentral:rRNA from 1 species